rnacentral:rRNA from 1 species
GAUCCUGCCAGUAGUCAUACGCUCGUCUCAAAGAUUAAGCCAUGCAUGUGUAAGUAUAAAUAAUUUUACUUUGAAACUGCGAAUGGCUCAUUAUAUCAGUUAUAGUUUAUUAGAAAUAUUUUACUACUUGGAUAACCGUAGUAAUUCUAGGGCUAAUACAUGAGUAAAACCUCAACUUCGGAAGAGGUGUGUUUAUUAGUAUGAAAACCAUAUAUCUUCGGAUAUAAUAGUGAGUAAUAAUAACCUUUCAUAUCGUAUGUCGUAAGAUAACGAUAGUUCUUUCAAGUUUCUGCCCUAUCAGCUUUCGAUGGUAGUAUAUGGGACUACCAUGGCAGUAACGGGUAACGAAGAAUUUGGGUUCGAUUUCGGAGAGGGAGCCUGAGAGAUGGCUACCACAUCCAAGGAAGGCAGCAGGCGCGUAAAUUACCCAAUCCUGACAUAGGGAGGUAGUGACAAUAAAUCACAAUGCGGAACUUUUAGUUUUGCAAUUGGAUUGAGAACAAUGUACAAAUGUUAUCGAUAAACAAUUGGAGGGCAAGUCUGGUGCCAGCAGCCGCGGUAAUUCCAGCUCCAAUAGCGUAUAUUAACGUUGUUGCAG